rnacentral:rRNA from 2 species
UGGGGAAUAUUGCACAAUGGAGGAAACUCUGAUGCAGCGACGCCGCGUGAGUGAAGAAGUAAUUCGUUAUGUAAAGCUCUAUCAGCAGGGAAGAUAGUGACGGUACCUGACUAAGAAGCUCCGGCUAAAUACGUGCCAGCAGCCGCGGUAAUACGUAUGGAGCAAGCGUUAUCCGGAUUUACUGGGUGUAAAGGGAGUGUAGGUGGCAUCACAAGUCAGAAGUGAAAGCCCGGGGCUCAACCCCGGGACUGCUUUUGAAACUGUGGAGCUGGAGUGCAGGAGAGGCAAGUGGAAUUCCUAGUGUAGCGGUGAAAUGCGUAGAUAUUAGGAGGAACACCAGUGGCGAAGGCGGCUUGCUGGACUGUAACUGACACUGAGGCUCGAAAGCGUGGGGAGCAAACAGG